rnacentral:rRNA from 1 species
AUGGUUAGAGCAAAGAACCUGAUAAAUGGGGGCUGUACAACAAGUAAGCUCUGGUUGGUAGAUCUUGUUGGAAGCGAGCAGUUAGCCAAGACAUACGCACAAGGUGAUCGGCUCAAGGAAGCACAAAAUAUCAACAUGUCGCUUUCUUCUUUAGGCGAUGUCAUUUAUGCUCUUGCUUCCAGAAGCAGCCACAUUCCUUACAGGUUUGCACUCUGA